GAAAUGCGAGGUGUGAUAAUUUAUCUAUGCCUCAGAUGUCUGCACGGAAAAGGUUAUGCUGCUUCUUAACCUCACUAAUGAUAAUCUUGACCUCAAAUCAGGUAGGACUACCCGCUGAACUUAA
rnacentral:misc_RNA from 1 species